AGAGAAGAAAUGUAUACUGGGUUCUUCAUGCUCUGUGACCAGGCUAAAAUGAGAUCCUCUUCUACAUGGAUAGGAUAAAGAUAGUAAAAGCAAGCAGUUUCUUUUGGUUCUUUAAUUCUACUUUCCAAUUUAUUCUACCUGACAAUAACUACAGAGAGAGAUCAAAUCGCAGACAGACAGAAUGGUUGGUAAAGUAACAAAAAUGGUGGAAUCUUUGCCUGCUUCCAUCCUUAGAGGCAUCGUAGCCAAAACUCAGUCUUUAGGAUGAAGUCCUCCCUCAUCCACAAGACAUGGACUUGGUUUUUCAUAGUUAAUUUCAUUCCAGUCAUCUUCACUAAGACA